CCCUUAGAUGUUCUGGGCCGCACGCGUGCUACACUGAGUGGAUCAGCGGGUCAGGUUGCGCGAAAGUGUUUCCUAAUCUUUAAAUCCGCUCGUGAUGGGGAUUGACGGUUGCAAUUUUCCGUCAUGAACGAGGAAUACCUUGUAAGCGCGGGUCAUCAUCCCGCGCUGAAUACGUCCCUGCCCUUUGUACACACCGCCCGUCGCUCCUACCGAUUGGAUGGCUUAGUGAGACCCUCGGACCGAUAGGCUGUCGCCGCGGCAACGUGGCGACCGGCCCGUCGGGAAGAAGGUCAAACUUGACUGUCUAGAGGAAGUAAAAGUCGUAACA
rnacentral:rRNA from 1 species